rnacentral:rRNA from 1 species
UGCAGCUGUACCACCAUGAAUACCUCCUGCUCUUGUCCGAUCUCAGAAGCAGAGUUGGGCCUGGUCAGUACUUGGAUGGAUGAAUUCAACAAUGGCUGUUA